GUCUCUAUGGUGUAAUGGAUAGCACAGCAGAUUUCUACUCUGCUAGCAGAGGUUCGAAUCCUCUUAGGGAUG
rnacentral:tRNA from 1 species